rnacentral:rRNA from 1 species
AUUGAACGCUGGCGGCAGGCCUAACACAUGCAAGUCGAACGGUAACAGGAAGAAGCUUGCUUCUUUGCUGACGAGUGGCGGACGGGUGAGUAAUGUCUGGGAAACUGCCUGAUGGAGGGGGAUAACUACUGGAAACGGUAGCUAAUACCGCAUAACGUCGCAAGACCAAAAAGGGGGACCUUCGGGCCUCUUGCCAUCGGAUGUGCCCAGAUGGGAUUAGCUAGUAGGUGGGGUAACGGCUCACCUAGGCGACGAUCCCUAGCUGGUCUGAGAGGAUGACCAGCCACACUGGAACUGAGCCACGGUCCAGACUCCUACGGGAGGAAGCAGAGGGGAAUAUUGGAAAAUGGGCGCAAGCCUGAUGCAGACAUGCCGCGUGUAUGAAGAAGGCCUUCGGGUUGUAAAGUACUUUCAGCGGGGAGGAAGGGAGUAAAGUUAAUACCUUUGCUCAUUGACGUUACCCGCAGAAGAAGCACCGGCUAACUCCGUG